rnacentral:miRNA from 8 species
ACGGGUAUUCUCGGGUUAAUAAU